CCUAGGAAUCUGCCUGGUAGUGGGGGACAACGUUUCGAAAGGAACGCUAAUACCGCAUACGUCCAACGGAGAAAGCAGGGACCUUCGGGCCUUGCGCUAUCAGAUGAGCCUAGGUCGGAUUAGCUAGUUGGUGAGGUAAUGGCUCACCAAGGCGACGAUCCGUAACUGGUCUGAGAGGAUGAUCAGUCACACUGGAACUGAGACACGGUCCAGACUCCUACGGGAGGCAGCAGCC
rnacentral:rRNA from 1 species